rnacentral:rRNA from 1 species
GACGAACGCUGGCGGCGUGCCUAAUACAUGCAAGUCGAACGCAUUUUCUUUCACUGUAGCGUGUUACACCGUAAGAAAAUGAGUGGCGAACGGGUGAGUACCACGCGGGUAACCUGCGCAACAGCGGGGGAUAACACUCGGAUACAGGUGCUAAUACCGUAUAAUUUCAUUUACUGUGUGGAAGUUGGACGAAAGGGGCUUUUGCGUCACCGAUGCAUGGACUUGCGGUGCAUUGGGUAGAUGGUGGGGUAGCGGCCUACCAAGGCUGCGAGGCAUAGCGGACCUGGGAGGGUGAUCGGCCCCACUGGGACUGAGACACGGCCCAGACUCCUACGGGAGGCAGCAGUAGGGAAUCUUCGGCAAUAGACGCAAGUCUGACCGAGCAACGCCGCGUGAGUGAAGAAGGUUUUCGGAUCGUAAAACUCUGUUGUUAGAAAAGAACAAGGAUGAGAGUGGAAAGUUCAUCCCUUGACGGUAUCUAACCAGAAAGCCACGGCUAACUACGUG